rnacentral:rRNA from 1 species
AACGAACGCUGGCGGCAUGCCUAACACAUGCAAGUCGAACGAUGCCUUCGGGCAUAGUUGCGCACGGGUGCGUAACGCGUGGGAAUCUGCCCUUGGCUUCGGAAUCCCAGUUAUAAAUGUCUGCUAAUACCGGUUGAUGUCCCCCUGAGUGAUCUUGGGUACUAAAGAUUUAUCGGCAAGGGAUGGGCCCGCGUAGGAUUAGGUAGUUGGUGGGGUAAAGGCCUACCAAGCCGACGAUCCUUAGCUGGUCUGAGAGGAUGAUCAGCUACACUGGUACUGAGACACGGCCCAGACUGCGACGGGAGGCAGCAGUGGGGAAUAUUGGACAAUGGGGGGAACACUGAUCCAGCAAUGCCGCGUGAGUGAUGAAGGCCUUAGGGUUGUAAAGCUCUUUUAGCAGGGAUGAGAAUGACAGUACCUGGAGAAUAAGCUCCGGCUAACUCCGUG